rnacentral:rRNA from 1 species
GAUGAACGCUGGCGGCGUGCCUAAUACAUGCAAGUCGAGCGAACAGACGAGGAGCUUGCUCCUCUGACGUUAGCGGCGGACGGGUGAGUAACACGUGGAUAACCUACCUAUAAGACUGGGAUAACUUCGGGAAACCGGAGCUAAUACCGGAUAAUAUAUUGAACCGCAUGGUUCAAUAGUGAAAGACGGUUUUGCUGUCACUUAUAGAUGGAUCCGCGCCGCAUUAGCUAGUUGGUAAGGUAACGGCUUACCAAGGCAACGAUGCGUAGCCGACCUGAGAGGGUGAUCGGUCACACUGGAACUGAGACACGGUCCAGACUCCUACGGGAGGCAGCAGUAGGGAAUCUUCCGCAAUGGGCGAAAGCCUGACGGAGCAACGCCGCGUGAGUGAUGAAGGUCUUCGGAUCGUAAAACUCUGUUAUUAGGGAAGAACAAAUGUGUAAGUAACUAUGCACGUCUUGACGGUACCUAAUCAGAAAGCCACGGCUAGCUACGUG